GCGCAGCAGGCGAGAAUCCUCCGCAAUACACGAAAGUGUGACGGGGUUACCCAAAGUGUCCAAAUUUGGACUGUGGUAGGUGAGUAAUGUCCCCUACUAGAAAGGAGAGGGCAAGGCUGGUGCCAGCCGCCGCGGUAAAACCAGCUCUUCAAGUGGUCGGGAUAAUUAUUGGGCUUAAAGUGUCCGUAGCCGGUUUAGUAAGUUCCUGGUAAAAUCGGGUAGCUUAACUAUCUGUAUGCUAGGAAUACUGCUAUACUAGAGGGCGGGAGAGGUCUGAGGUACUACAGGGGUAGGGGUGAAAUCCUGUAAUCCUUGUAGGACCACCAGUGGCGAAGGCGUCAGACUGGAACGCGCCUGACGGUGAGGGACGAAAGCCAGGGGAGCGAACCGGAUUAGAUACCCGGUAGU
rnacentral:rRNA from 1 species